UACCAGCACCCCGAGUGGUCGGGACGUUUAUUGGGCCUAGCAUCCGUAGCCGGUUCUACAAGUCUUCCGUUAAAUCCAGCUGCUUAACAGAUGGGCUGCGGAAGAUACUAUGGAGCUAGGAGGCGGGAGAGGCAAGCGGUACUCGAUGGGUAGGGGUAAAAUCCGUUGAUCCAUUGAAGACCACCAGUGGCGAAGGCGGCUUGCCAGAACGCGCUCGACGGUGAGGGAUGAAAGCUGGGGGAGCAAACCGG
rnacentral:rRNA from 1 species